UACGGAGGGUGCAAGCGUUAUCCGGAUUCACUGGGUUUAAAGGGUGCGUAGGUGGGCAGUUAAGUCAGUGGUGAAAUCUCCGGGCUCAACCCGGAAACUGCCAUUGAUACUAUCUGUCUUGAAUAUCGUGGAGGUAAGCGGAAUAUGUCAUGUAGCGGUGAAAUGCUUAGACAUGACAUAGAACACCAAUUGCGAAGGCAGCUUACUACCCGAAUAUUGACACUGAGGCACGAAAGCGUGGGGAUCAAACAGG
rnacentral:rRNA from 1 species